CAAUAGCGUAUAUUAAAGUUGUUGCAGUUAAAAAGCUCGUAGUUGAAUUUUUGCUUGCCGCCGAUGUCGGAACUUCCGUACGUUCGGCGGCGUGCAUCCUUGGGUGGAACCUGUGUGGCAUUAGAUUGUCGUGCAGGGGAUGCUCAUCGUUUACUGUGAAAAAAUUAGAGUGUUCAAAGCAGGCUUACGCCGUUGAAUAUAUUAGCAUGGAAUAAUAAGAUAGGACCUUGGUACUAUUUUGUUGGUUUGCGCACCGAGGUAAUGAUUAACAGGGACAGUUGGGGGUAUUCGUAUUCCAUUGUCAGAGGUGAAAUUCUUGGAUUUCUGGAAGACGAACUACUGCGAAAGCAUUUACCAAGGAUGUUUUCAUUAA
rnacentral:rRNA from 1 species